ensembl:lncRNA
CUGGGCUUACACUUUUUGGGGCCACUGAACAUUGGUUUAUAGAUUUGUAUGUAAAAUUACUAAAGUACUUCCUUUCUACAGAUGCACUGUUAUAAAUUGCAAUUAUGUGCAAAAAUAAAAAAAUAGUUAAAUCCUGAAAAAAAUGCCAGCACAUCUGUCACUACAAAUGUGUAAAAGUAAAUCAUUUUGAUUUGCGGUUUGAGCAACAGCUUUCUGGCUGCAAACAGGCCUCAGGAAUGCAUGAGCCGCAGUUAUAAACGAACAGUGCUGAAGUGAACAGCAUGAAUUCAGCAUGAAAUCUGUACUUUUAAUAGGGCUGACUCUUUAAAAACAGCUAGGAUACAGAAUCAGUCAGUGCGCCGCAGUCUAAUCGAUUUAAAGCUGGUGCGUCUUGGAUACAUGAAGGCUUGUGCUGAUAUAGAGAGUAGCUGUCACGCUAUAAAAUGGAAGUCAGCAAUUGAGUCGCAGUAGAAAAUCCCAUUGUCCUCAUUUCCCCCCAGAUUACUUUGUGUACAUGUGAAUAUAUCAACUGAAUAUACAAUAUAUAUGCCCAUAUUGUAUAAUCAGUGACUAAUGCUAGUCUUCAACAUACAAAUCUGACCAUAAACUGUUGCUAAGACAAAACCAAAUCAGUUGGUGGUCCAUAAGAAUAUGUCCUUUGAUCAGCAAUAAUGUUCAAAAGUUUAUAAGCUACCUUUUUAUGGCUUUGAUAUAUUUGUUUGAAUGUUGCAACAUGCAUUCACUGUAUUUUGACAAAAGUAGUACAAAAGUGACAAAAACUAUUGAUAAAUCAUUCUAAUUAAUGUACAUUAAUAAUACAUUUUUUCUCAGUUACUUGAUUGUGUUUAAAAAGUGCAAUUUAAAAAGCAACUACUACGCUGUAGCAAGAAAAUGCUUUCUCUUUACUGUGAAAGAAAACUGCAGGCUUCCAAGAAGACUUAAACUCUAUAUUCUAAUUUAAUUUUGCUCCCCUUUUUCUUUAUUUAAAGAGUUUAACAUUUCCUUAAGUGGGAACGCCUGUGUUUGUUUUUGACAGACCAAAAUAUCCACCCAGAUCCAUUUCACUCAGUUCAAACUGGUUUCAUCGGUCAACACAAAAACCAUUGAAAAUGAUUGUAAUAAUUUUAUAUGGUUUUAUUGUUUCUUUCUGUUGUAAUAUUUCUAACAAAUGAAGCUGAUUAAUUAUCCUAGAGUUUUUGUUUAUAAUAUAAAGAAUAACUUUUAACAUAAGUGUUUUAUGAGUAUAUGUACAUAAGAAAAAGAAAUAAAUUAAGAAAGUUGCAAUGCAAAGCUGUGAUUUUAAAGCACUGUAGCGUGUACAGUGAUUUGUUUUUAUCAAUUUUAUGGUACAUAUGAUAUGUUCUGCAUUUCUGCAGUUGUUUCUUUUCUUUUUGUUCAUGAGCAUAUGCUUUAAUAAAUAUGUUUUUU